rnacentral:rRNA from 1 species
GACGAACGCUGGCGGCGUGCUUAACACAUGCAAGUCGAACGGAAAGGCCCUGCUUGCGGGGUACUCGAGUGGCGAACGGGUGAGUAACACGUGGGUGUUCUGCCCUGCACUUCGGGAUAAGCCUGGAAAACUGGGUCUAAUACCGGAUAGGAGCCAUCUUUAGUGUGAUGGUUGGAAAGUUUUUUCGGUGUAGGAUGAGCUCGCGGCCUAUCAGCUUGUUGGUGGGGUAAUGGCCUACCAAGGCGGCGGCGGGUAGCCGGCCUGGGAGGGUGGACGGCCACAAUGGGGCUGAGAGACGGCCCAGACUCCGACGGGGGGCAGCAGUGGGGAAUAUUGCACAAUGGGCGGGAGGCUGAUGCAGCGACGGCGCGUGGGGGAAGACGGGCUUCGGGUUGGAAACUCCUUUCGCUAGGGACGAAGCUGUUUGUGACGGUACCUAGAUAAGAAGCACCGGCUAACUACGUG